rnacentral:rRNA from 1 species
GAUGAACGCUAGCGGCAGGCUUAAUACAUGCAAGUCGAGGGGCAGCACAGAUAGCAAUAUUGGGUGGCGACCGGCAAACGGGUGCGGAACACGUACACAACCUUCCUUUUAGUGUGGGAUAGCCCAGAGAAAUUUGGAUUAAUACCACAUAGUAUAUUGGAGUGGCAUCACUUUGAUAUUAAAGAUUUAUCGCUAAAAGAUGGGUGUGCGUAUGAUUAGGUAGUUGGUAGAGGUAACGGCUCACCAAGCCUUCGAUCAUUAACUGGUGUGAGAGCACGACCAGUCACACGGGCACUGAGAAACGGGCCCGACUCCUACGGGAGGCAGCAGUAAGGAAUAUUGGUCAAUGGACGGAAGUCUGAACCAGCCAUGCCGCGUGAAGGAUGACGGCCCUCUGGGUUGUAAACUUCUUUUAUGUGGGACGAAAAAGGGCCAUUUUUGGUCAACUGACGGUACCAUAGGAAUAAGCACCGGCUAACUCCGUGCCAGCCGCCGCCGUAA